CGGAGGAGGGUAACGCGUGGUCAACCUACCGUUGAGUGGGGAUAACUAGCCGAAAGGUUAGCUAAUACCGCAUACGUCUCCGAGGGGCAUCCCUUGGCGAUAAAAGGAGCAAUCCGCUCGAUGACGGGACCGCGUCCCAUUAGCUAGAUGGUGGGGUAACGGCCUACCAUGGCACCGAUGGGUAGCUGGUUUGAGAGAGCGACCAGCCACACUGGGACUGAGAAACGGCCCAG
rnacentral:rRNA from 1 species